rnacentral:lncRNA from 1 species
AUGGGUCAGCUAUAUAUAAGGGUAAUAACCGACAAUGAAUGGUCAGUCUAAGGAUUUCGGUCAAUGACAAAGUCACAUGUGUCAACAUGUAAGAGAUUGCUUCGUGAAACAUGUCAAAGGCAAGAGAUGACUAUUCAACUUGCACCCACGUGGGGGAGCAGCUGACUUUGUCUCCAGCAAUGAAUGAAGUCCAUCAAUAGAAACUCGCCACAUGACGGUCCAAUCCAAAAGUCAUCCCUAUCUUCGAAAAAUCAUAAAAAAUAGUCCGAGAAUCCGAGAAAUUCACCGAAAAAUACGACGAACUCGUGGAGACAUCUAGUUUCUAAUUCUAAAAAGAAAAACACAUUUUGAGAAAUUUCAAAAUUCGGGAUGUUACAAGUCACCUCUAGUGUAUAUAGGGUUUAUGAUGAUUGAGCAUAGUCACCCUAAUUCCUUUUGGCAUAUGGAGCAUAGUCACCCUAAUUCCUUUUGUGAUGAUCGAUCAAUAGUCGAUCACCUCUAGUGUAUACUUGAUAUAUGAUAAUCAAGCGCUAGUCACCUUUGAUGUAUAUAAGGUUUAUAAUGAUAAGCCAUUAAUAUCAAGUAAUGUCUUAACGUUGGCAUGGUUUACGGUUUAUGAUGAUCGAGUACAAAUGACCUCUCAUGUAUAUAUAGUUUAGAGUUUAUGAUAAUCUAGCAAUAGUCACAUCUCACAUCUAGUGUAUACAUGGUUCAAGGUUUGUGAUGAUGGAUCAAUUAUAUGAUAAUCGAAAUUAAAGUUUUAUGAUCGCAUCUACAAUCAAUUUUCAUAAAAGAGAACCCUAAACCCUAAACCCUAAACCGCAGGGACAAACACGUCGUUUCGCAGCAUAAGUAUGAAACUAUGUAUAUAAAGGAAAUGGAACCCUAGCCGCACUUUCCUCUCUUUCCCUUGCGCGUUUCUCUCUCUCUCUCUNNNNNNNNNNNNNNNNNNNNCUCUCUUCCUUCGUCGCGUUCUCUCUCUCUCUCUCUCUCUCUCUCUCUCUCUCUACCACCGUUUAGCUCGUCACCCUCUCCUCUACCUCCUCCUAAUCACCGAUUGACAUGCAUCCACCUCUUUCUCAAGAUUGAAAUCCAAACCCUAAAUCCCCAAAUCCAAUUUCCGACCGAAUCUCUCCCUCUCUGGCGAACUCGUGCUCCGUGAAGGUAAACCCAUCACUUCUCUCUCGUUUUCACUCCUCCUUGAGCUUUGAUUUCCCUAAAUACAGCCUUAAUCUGAUUUUCUUUUCUUUUGUAUUUCUGGGUUUUGGUCAAAGUUUUCCGGCGACCUCGUCGACUUCUAGGGAGUCCUAUCGUGUUCUAAUGGAGCCGAAGUACGUUUAAGUGGCGUUGUGGAAGUAGCGGGCGGUUCUGGGUUGAGGCAGUGGCUUUCUAGCGAGGGGAGGAUCCAUGUUCUUAUGUUGAUUCUCCGAUUUGGUCUUGGUUAAGCAAGGAGAAGGUUUAGACUUUGUCUAGUUCAUUGAUUUGGAGAAACAGAUGGUAAGUCUCGACCUCUCUUGUUGUUGUGGAAUUACUAUGUUGGUUGUUCUGCGUUGAGUUGUUGAAUUGUUGGUUUUGGAUUUCACGUUGGUACCAUGGCGGAUUUGGAAUUGAAGCAGUGAAGCAAAAGCUAAUGUGUUGGUUCAUAAGGGUAAGGAUUUCCCUUGUUUUGUUGCAGUGUCGUUGUUUUUUGGUUUUGUUAUUGAUGCCUGAUUUGAGUGAGUGUUUUGGUUGCUUGUAUAGUUGUAUGUCGAGAACUUGGUGUUUUGAAGAAUACGGGGAGGUUAUGGCCCGUGUGCUCUUGCCAUUUCCUUACCUUUGUCUUGUGUGCUAGGAGUUUAUGACUCCUUUAUUCCAUGAUUGCCUCAACAAUCAGUGAGUUAUUCUUGUUUUUAUGUAUCAACUUGUUUCUGGUAUGCCUUCCUAAUUCUCACAGUGAUAAUUGUAAUGUUUAAACAUUAGCCUCUGAGUUAUAAAAUUCAUAUUAUAAGUUGAGUACUUAUACAAUUUUAAUGGUCCUGAAUAACUGCUUUUGUGUUAGAGGUUAUUCAUAUAUAGUUAUUUAUAGCUUUGAAAUGUGAUGCUUGUAGUUGCAAAGCAAGUUCCAAGACUAUCAUGGAAACU